CGCCUGCAGGCCACGGGUUGGGAACUGAUGGAGGGAGAGGGGCGAGAGUAUCUUGCUCUGAACCACCACCACUGGAUCCAUCAUUCAGGUUCAGAGAGGCCAUGUCUGGAAGCCAAAAGAAAAAGAUUCUGUGAUGGAUUCUAGAUGAUUCAGGAUAUCUGAUGCUGAACAAUCUAUUGUGUAUAGAUGACCAGGAUACAGGGUCAAGUCUGGGAGGAUGAGACAUACACUGGACACAAAGUAAGGAAUGACUGGUGAAAAGCAAGAUCAUAAGAUCAAGUGGCAGGAAGGAAAAGGAGAGGCACUGAAACAACUGUACAGCACGCAGCCGGAUACUGGACAGACAUACACAAACAGUUACCAGAAAAACAAGACUCCCUGAGAGACUAUGUACCAAGUAAUUUCACUCCAAUCAUCUAAAAUGCGUCAUUCUGGAACAUCACAUGACACCUGACCUAACUGGCUUUGGUUCUGAGUAUUGACAUUGCUAUAAUCUAAAUGCCCACUAUGCAAAACUGUUAAGCAUAAUCUUUAGAUUACUCUGCAUAUGUCUCACGGUUCUGUGUGUACUUUUUUGUCAUCAUUAAGUAAAUCAGUGUCAAACUAUCAUAAGGAGAAUCUGCUUAUCAUAACGAAACAACCACUUGUCAUAGAGCAUUAAAAGAACUUAUCUUGUU